AAACACAGCUCAGUUUCUCUGCCAGCUCACCCCUCGACCUUGUGCUGAGAGUGACAUUAUAGCACCAGCUCUGGUGACCGUUUGGGAUGUGGAUAUUUAUCCACUGCAGCUCUGGACCAAGCCCAUCAGUUCCCUGCAUGCAGAGGAUGGAAUGAGCCACUGGGCAGCUCUGACUCCCAGCCCUGGCUGGCCGGGGUCAGCCGGGAGCCAGUGCCCUUUCCAUGGAUGACACCAUGGCCUGUCACAGAGCUCUCAUUUAAAAUACUCCUCUCAAAUAGAUAAAGAUACACCCUAAUCACUAAUCAAAGAGCAGCUUUAGUGCCUCAAAAAUGUGGAGCAAGCUGCAGGCAUCAGAAUAAAUUACAACUGGAUUGAGCAGUCAUUGAAUAAAAAGGUCAGGGGCCAUGCCAGGGAGAGCCCUGGGACUGGGUGAUCCAUCAUUAAUUCAGCCUGGGAGGUCACUCCUGCCAUGCUCCAAAUGCCCAUUAAGCACUUACAGCUUUUUAUUUGUACAGCUCUGUGCCACACUCAGGCUGGAUGGGCACAUUUUCCAGAGCUGAUUUGUUCAGUUCUGCAUGGCCCAUGCUAAGGGUGUGAUUAACACACAAUUAUACACAAACAUGCGCCCCAACACGGAGCUGUGGGUGUGCAGAGAGCACUGGGGUGGGUUUUGUGUUUUCUCUCAUUCCACUGCUUGCACUGCUCUUUCCCUCCUGCUUUCACUGGGCCUUGCCAAGGGUAGACCCCGAGGCAAAAUGCCUGCAGGUUUUCCUGAUUGUGCUUUUCCUUCCUGAACUCUGACAUCCCAAAUAAUUCAGCAGGAACACCUCAGACCACUUCCUUCCUUUCUCUUUCCUUACUCCCCUUCCUCUUCUUUGCAGCUUUAUUGCCUUUAUUAAGGAUAAACAUUAAUAAAGCACCAUUUAAAUUCUUGAUUAAAAAAACACACACAAAAAAGUUCCUUUUUGGGACAAAGGCUUUGGGGGGAGUUCUUUUUUGGGACAAAGGCUUUGGGGGGAUGACUGUGAAAGAUAUGAAAAGUAGUUUUUAAUUUGUGGGGGGAUAGAAUAUAAGGAAAUGAAGAUAGUGCAGAAGGCAAUCUCAGCCCUGAGGAGUUGCAGCUGUAUUAAUUACCACAGAUUAGGAACAGGCCACAGCUGUGUCUAAUAAGGACAGAGCUAUAAAAGAGUGAGUGAGGGGGUGAGGAGAGGGUUGGGGUUUGUUUGCUGUGAGGAGGGAGUCAGUACUGCAAGGAGCUGCCCAUGAAACCUCACUGAGAAGUUUGUCCUGUCUUCAUCAAAGCCCAAGAUUCCAGAGAUAGAAUGAGGCUAUAAGAGAGAUGGUAAACCUGAAUACUGAGGAAUUUAUGACAUGAAUUUCAAAUGCAAGAAGCUAAUUUUUCCUUGAGGAAGCACAAGUGCAGCGUUCCCAAUCAAGCUGCAGAGAUGCCUUUGUGAAACACCUCAGUCAGUCACACAUCAAACACGAUCAGGUUUGUUUUGUGUUUCACCAGGACCUCUGCAGUGAGAUCAGUGCAAACCCUCCAAAACCAACAGAGUCACCUGUGGAGGAGGAGGGAAAUGAUUCCCAUUCAGGUCCUGUCUGCACACAGAUGUAAGCAUUAGAGAGGUGACUGAGAGGCCAGAGGUUUCUGGAUAAAUCAAGAAGUGCAGGUUGACUGGAGGAACUCGCUCUCUCUUGCCUUGGCCUCAGCAAAAUCUCAUGUAAGUACCCUUCUGAUC